rnacentral:misc_RNA from 1 species
AAAGUCGUAACAAGGUUUCCGUAGGUGAACCUGCGGAAGGAUCAUUAACGACGUUGGGUCCACGUGGCCCAAUCUCCAACCCUCUGUCUACCUAAACUCCUGUUGCUUUGGUGGACCGUUGGGUCUGACCCACCGCUGGCUUCGGCUGGCGAGCGUCCGCCAGAGUCAUUUAAAAAACCCUUUAUCCAUGACGUCUGAGUACACAUAUAAAUUAUCAAAACUUUCAACAACGGAUCUCUUGGUUCUG